GACGGAGGAUGCAAGCGUUAUCCGGAAUGAUUGGGCGUAAAGCGUCCGCAGGUGGCAGUUCAAGUCUGCUGUCAAAGACCGGGGCUUAACUUCGGAAAGGCAGUGGAAACUGAACAGCUAGAGUAUGGUAGGGGCAGAGGGAAUUCCUGGUGUAGCGGUGAAAUGCGUAGAGAUCAGGAAGAACAUCGGUGGCGAAGGCGCUCUGCUGGACCAUAACUGACACUCAGGGACGAAAGCUAGAGGAGCGAAUGGG
rnacentral:rRNA from 1 species